GGGUGUGAUCAUACCAGUGUUAAUGCACCGGAGCCCAUCAGAACUCCGCAGUUAAGCACACUUUGGCUAGAGUAGUACUGGGAUGGGUGACCUCCUGUGAAGUCCUAGUGUUGA
rnacentral:rRNA from 1 species